GGGCACCAAAGGCCUCCUGGUGCCAGAUCUAAUCCUGCAGGACUUCUCUGUCCUCUUCCCCCGGCUCUCAGCAUCGUCACGGUGGACCCCUCCUCGUCCAGCACGCUGCCUCCCGCCUGCUGUGACCUCACUCUCUCCUGCUGUCCUGGGACCUCGCGGGCCUCCUCCCGGGUCCCCUUCCCGCUCCUCCUCCUCUGUUUGGCCGUCUGGUUGUUAGAGCGCCCCCCAGGCCUCGGGAGGAUGAGGGAUAAAUGAACCACCCGGUCCCCUGGGCUCCCUUCAUUCAUUCAUCCAGCGAGUGUUCCCAGGGAGCUCACUGUGGAUCGGGCUCCCUGUGGGAGCUGCAGACACAGCAGGGAGCAAAGCCGCCCCUGCCUCCGGAGCUCACCUCGUGGUGGGAGACAAAAUGCAAAUAAAUGCAGUGUCCAGGAGUGCAACGUGCUGUAAGAAACAUAAACCAGGGAAAGGGCAGAGUGUGGGGCAGUGGGGCCAGUGUGAAUGUAGGGGGAGGGCUGUCUGCUCAGCUGUCAUCUGAGAAGCCUGGACGGAGGGGCCACAGGAUCCUCUCAUGGACGAGCCCCUGCAGGCAGAGGAAACAGCCGUGCAAAGGCCCCGAGGCAGCAGCGAGCUCUUGCAGGAAGGCGGGCCUGAGGCUGCAGCCAAAUGGGCCAGGUCAGAGUGAGGAGGAGAGGCCAGAACCGCAGGGAGGGAGAGGCCAGACCCUCCACGGCCUUAGGGCGUCCCUGAGAUUCCAUCAGGAAAGGGAUGUAAUCGGAUCACCUGGGAACAGUGGGGAAAAUUGACUCCAGGAGUCACCCCCCACCACUGUCUGUCUCCAGCAGAGACCGUAUGAUGAAGACCCCCAGGCAGUGACACGUGCCCAGGUGAAACACUCCAGACUCAGGCGGGGAGUGACCUCUCCUCCCUCCCCACUGUCCGAGGAGUUCCUGGACACACAGGCGGAAGAGGACAGGCAGAUGGACACUGAGGCUGCUGCAUCUGAAGCCCCCCAGGAUGUGACCUACGCCCAGCUGCAGAGCUUGACCCUCAGACGGGAGGCAACUGAGCCUCCUUCAUCCCAGGAAAGGGCGCCUCCAGCUGAGUCCAGCGUCUACGCCACCCUGGCCAUCCACUAACCCGGAGGGGACCCAGACCCCACACUCAGCAGAAGGAGAUUCGGGACUGCUGAAGGCACGGGAGCUGCCCCCAUUGGAUACCAAUGAACCCCAGUCAGCCUGGACCCCUAACACAGACCACGAGGAGACGCUGGGAACUUGUGGGACUCACCUGACUCAAAGAUGACUAAUGUCGUCGCAUUUUGGAAAUAAAGCAACAGACUUCUCAAUAAUCAAUGAGUUAAUAAGAAAAAAAAAAAAAAAAAAAAACAGAC